rnacentral:rRNA from 1 species
UACGUAGGGGGCAAGCGUUGUCCGGAUUUAUUGGGCGUAAAGCGCUCGCAGGUGGUUCGUCGCGUCGUGCGUGAAAGACCCCGGCUCAACUGGGGGAGGUCGUGCGAUACGGGCGGACUGGAGGCCAGUAGGGGGAUGCGGAAUUCCGGGUGUAGUGGUGGAAUGCGUAGAGAUCCGGAGGAACACCAGCGGCGAAGGCGGCAUCCUGGACUGGUCCUGACACUCAUGAGCGAAAGCGUGGGGAGCGAUCCGG